UGGGGAAUUUUGGACAAUGGGCGAAAGCCUGAUCCAGCAAUGCCGCGUGUGUGAAGAAGGCCUUCGGGCUGUAAAGCACUUUUGUCCGGAAAGAAAUCCUUGGCUCUAAUACAGUCGGGGGAUGACGGUACCGGAAGAAUAAGCACCGGCUAACUACGUGCCAGCAGCCGCGGUAAUACGUAGGGUGCAAGCGUUAAUCGGAAUUACUGGGCGUAAAGCGUGCGCAGGCGGUUUGCUAAGACCGAUGUGAAAUCCCCGGGCUCAACCUGGGAACUGCAUUGGCGACUGGCAGGCUAGAGUAUGGCAGAGGGGGGUAGAAUUCCACGUGUAGCAGUGAAAUGCGUAGAGAUGUGGAGGAAUACCGAUGGCGAAGGCAGCCCCCUGGGCCAAUACUGACGCUCAUGCACGAAAGCGUGGGGAGCAAACAGGAUUAGAUACCCCGGUAGUCCACGCCCUAAACGAUGUCAACUAGUUGUUGGGGAUUCAUUUCCUUAGUAACGUAGCUAACGCGUGAAGUUGACCGCCUGGGGAGUACGGUCGCAAGAUUAAAACUCAAAUGAAUUGACGGGGUCAUAGCUGUUUCCU
rnacentral:rRNA from 1 species